rnacentral:misc_RNA from 1 species
AACGCACGAGACCUGCGGACCUGCGGAAGGAUCAUUAGUGAACGCCCUCGCGGGCUUAUAACUAUUCCAAACCUCUGUGAACCGUGCCCUUCGGGGCUAUUUUACAAACAUGGUGUAAUGAACGUCAUAUAUCAUAACAAAACAAAACUUUUAACAAUGGAUCUCU